rnacentral:rRNA from 1 species
UACGUAGGGUGCGAGCGUUAAUCGGAAUUACUGGGCGUAAAGCGUGCGCAGGCGGUUCGCCAAGUCAGGUGUGAAAUCCCCGGGCUUAACCUGGGAAUUGCGCUUGAAACUAGCGGGCUUGAGUGUGGCAGAGGGGGGUGGAAUUCCACGUGUAGCAGUGAAAUGCGUAGAGAUGUGGAGGAACACCGAUGGCGAAGGCAGCCCCCUGGGCUAACACUGACGCUCAUGCACGAAAGCGUGGGGAGCAAACAGG